rnacentral:misc_RNA from 1 species
GCCAAUUCAUCGAAGUUUAUCACUUUCUAGCGAGAAUAGCCUAGCCAAAAAAACAAAUAUAUACAGUGUAUAAGAAGAUCUAAAUUGAUGACUGCAGGUAUAAGAGAUCUUCGUUAUGUUAGCGAACCUGCGUCUCCUCUUCUUAUCAGAAGAAAAAGCUUCCUCCAUUGUCGUCGCGUCGUUGAAUCUAACAUACCUUCCUUUAUUAUAACAAAUUAAUAUCCAAGUUCGAGAAUAACUCUGAAGUUU